rnacentral:rRNA from 1 species
GACGAACGCUGGCGGCGUGCUUAACACAUGCAAGUCGAGCGGUAAGGCCCUUUCGGGGGUACACGAGCGGCGAACGGGUGAGUAACACGUGGGUGACCUGCCCUCAGCUCUGGGAUAAGCCUGGGAAACCGGGUCUAAUACUGGAUAUGACUCCAUGACGCAUGUUGUGGGGUGGAAAGCCUUGUGCGGCUGAGGAUGGGCCCGCGGCCUAUCAGCUUGUUGGUGGGGUGAGGCCUACCAAGGCGACGACGGGUAGCCGGCCUGAGAGGGCGACCGGCCACACUGGGACUGAGACACGGCCCAGACUCCUACGGGAGGCAGCAGUGGGGAAUCUUGCGCAAUGGGCGAAAGCCUGACGCAGCGACGCCGCGUGAGGAU